UACGUAGGGCGCAAGCGUUAUCCGGAAUUAUUGGGCGUAAAGAGCUCGUAGGCGGUUUGUCGCGUCUGCCGUGAAAGUCCGGGGCUCAACUCCGGAUCUGCGGUGGGUACGGGCAGACUAGAGUGAUGUAGGGGGGACUGGAAUUCCUGGUGUAGCGGUGAAAUGCGCAGAUAUCAGGAGGAACACCGGUGGCGAAGGCGGGUCUCUGGGCCGAUACUGACGCUGAGGAGCGAAAGCGUGGGGAGCGAACAGG
rnacentral:rRNA from 1 species